rnacentral:lncRNA from 1 species
UAAGAACAAGAAUAUAAACUUACAUAUACUGUCGAAAACAUAGGUUGGUAUACCAACAAUUAUUUACAAACAGAGAAAUAGAAGAGACCAGAAUCAACAUACUCAAAUAUUCAAAAUAGUUCCAACAAAACGGUCAAGUUUCCAUGAUUAAGUACUAGAGUAUUACAGCUGCAUGGCUGCCAAUAACAACAUAAACACAAGCAGACUACUAAGUUGACUGAAUAGCUAGCAGCAUAAGUCAGGUACAUGACUUCACUCAAGCACCAAUAGCUUAUCACAACUUACCCAAAUUACUGUUGCUCAUAUUCAAGAUCUAACUUCGCUAUCAUUGUGCUUCAAGGUCCAAUAAUCUUCACUACUAGAAUCUUCAAGGACCCAGAUUGAUACUUCAGCAGCACCAUAAUUUGCGACAUACAAUUGUCCACGUGAUGCAUAAAUAUAAGGACCACAGCGAGCAUCAUUUAAAGUAGGAACAGGAAUGAAACGACAGUUUCCCUCCACGUCGAUGGCUGCAACCAAAUUAUUAUAGGAACAUAAAUACAACACCCCACUGAGAAAUGUGCCACCUGAAAAGUUGCGUAUCUCAAUUGGAUCGUCCCAUUCAAUUUGAUGUGUCCAACCUCCAGCUUUGGACGAGUAGAUCCCCACCUCUUCGAUGUCAUAUUCAUACUUCAAAUUCCAAUUCAAAGCCACAGCAGGUACCAACUCGAACACAUAGAAAUGGGAGGAGACGGCCGGAUCAAAUCCCAGGCGAGCAUACGAUUCCGAGGACCAUUCAUUGGCAGGGAAGGUUACCCAUUUCUCAGUGGCAGGAUUGCACACCACAUAAUCCGGUUCCUCGGGAUAAGGCUUCGAACGUCGACAGAGGAGGAGGCCGUUGCAGCAGUCCAACAAGUCAAUCUCCUCGCAUUUUGGCAGGAACGAGAGGGAGGCGUCAAUGGGGCACCAGUUCCCUGAGACGCUUCGGUAACCAUGCAAAUCAUGUGGACGGCUGGCCAUGUCGUAGGUUUUGUAGAAGAAGCCGGCGAGGGUCGACCGGGGAAGCUUCUUGCGGUGGUCGGGGUGGGCGAUGAG